AGUGAACGCUGGCGGCAGGCCUAACACAUGCAAGUCGAACGGCAGCACAGUAAGAGCUUGCGCUUACGGGUGGCGAGGGGCGAAGGGUGGAUGAAAAGAUCGGAAUCUACUUUUUCGUGCGGGAUAACGGCGGGAAACUUACGCUAAUACCGCAUACGACGUACGUGUGAAAUCAUGGGACCUUGGGACAUCUCGUGAUUGUAUGAGCCGAUGUCGCGUUAGCUAGUUGGCGGGGUAAAGGCCCACCAAGCCGACGAUCCGUAGCUGGUCGGAGAGGAUGAUCAGCCACAAUGGAACUGAGACACGGUCCAGACUCCUACGGGAGGCAGCAGUGGGGAAUAUUGGACAAUGGGCGAAAGCCUGAUCCAGCCAUGCCGCGUGGGUGAAGAAGGCCUUCGGGUUGUAAAGAACUUUUGUUGGGAAAGAAGAGCAGCAGGUUAAUACCCCGCUGUUUUGACGGUACCCAAAGAAUAAGCACCGGCUAACUUCGUG
rnacentral:rRNA from 1 species